rnacentral:rRNA from 1 species
AUGGUGCACAUAAACUUUGGUGUCAUCACCCUGAUCCCCAAAGUAGUUGGGGCGAUGGACAUUCAACAAUUCAGGCCUAUCACAGUUAUCAACAUUCUUGGGCACAUUUUCUCUAAAGUAUGCGCGAGUAGACUCGCACCGGUUGCUGAGAGGAUGAAGCACCCACUUCAGACAACAUUCCUGAAGGGGAAACUGAUCCAUGACGGGAUUUUGUCCCUUCACGAGAUUGUCCAUGAGGUGCGAUCAUGCGGGCAUAAGGGUGUCUUUCUCAAGCUGGACUUCCAGAAAGCCUAUGAUCGGCUAGACUGGAUGUUCUUGCGGCUAGUCAUGUAG